GAUGCUAUCACAAGCGACAUGAUUUUGGAGGUGAUUUCAAAAGCGCUAAUGACGUUGAAAUCAAUUAUACUGUUCUGAGACAUUGGAAGUUGACAACAACGUAUAUGAGACUCUUAGAAGAACAUAAAGCUUUGAUAUCAACUGUUAAUGAAGUUGCCGAUUCUAUAAGUACUUACGAUUCUUACUAUCCAAAAGACGAAAAGAAAUGGAACGAAAUUUACAUGAAAGCAAUACCUGCAUUUUCUAAUACUUUUUGCCUUCAAUUUCUAAAAGAUGUCCUAAGUUAUUUUCCAUCUAUUUAUAUAAUCAUUAUUCUUUUUUUAAUUAAAUAUGUCUGAUACAUGUCACAUAUAUUAUAUGAGGCACAUUUCUUUUUUACCUGGGUAUAUAUUUUUUCAGUACGGGUACUAUUAUUUAUUCUCAUUUUAAUAAUAACAUUUUUUUAGGGGGAUUUUCUCGUAAUUGUAGCAAUUUUAGGGUUUUUAACUUCAGCUUUAGGGAUAUAUAAUUUUAGGAGUUGGUAACACUGCUAGCAACAUUCAUAACAAAAAAAAUGCCGCCAAACACUAAAGACUUGCACAUACCUACUGAUUGUAAAAAUCUAGGUAAAAAUAAAUAAUAUAUGGAAUAACAACGCGCCUAAUUUUAAAAAUUACCUAUAAUGGCAAAACUAUUAUUGAACGAAUGUGUAACAAUUAACAAUCAGUCAAAAGUUGAUUGUGAUUCUAAAUUACCAAGUUUUGUGGAUGACGACUCUGAAAUUCUCAAUAUAACAAGACAUCAGAUACAAAAAAGUUUAGCAAGUAUACAACUUAUUGUAGACGAUUUGAAUAAAAUGAGAGGUGAGAAAUAUUUGCUUAUAACUUAAUUAAUUCAGAUGAAAACCUUACGUAAAAUCAUGAAAGUGGUGGUGGUUAUAAAAAUGUUUGCGUGAAUAUUUUAAAGUAUUUGGUCUGGCUUUUCAGAAAAAGUCGCACAUUUAGAAUUAAACUUAUUGUCAAGAGUCAAUGGUUCAACAUGGAAAGACAUAUCAGAUCUAAUUGGCUCAUCCAGCACAGUGAUGAUGGACGAGUGUAUGAAGAUCCUGGCACCCGAAGACGGUACGUCAAGUAAUCGUCUAUUAGGCGCGCCUCCGUCCCUCAGUGUCGACUAAGAGGGAGGGGCCGCGAAUACGCAUCAACGGGUAUGUAUUAUUUUCUUAUGUAAGUAUUAAAUAAGUAGGUUUAAACAUACCUGCAUAGGUAUGUAUAUCGUUUAUAUUAUUUCUUAAAUACUUUGUUUCUUAUAAAAAUCCGCUUGCAUACUCUGAUAAUCUCCGUAAUUAUAAGUUAUUCAAAAAAAUAUAUAUAAAUACUUACACAUUUGUAUUUCUCUUUGUUUCUGUAAGUAUGUUUGUAUUAUCUGUAUGCAAAAAACUAUUUGUUAUGUUAUGUUGCAAUUAGACGAGUUCGAGUAUUAAUAGCGUACAAGAAUGUUUGUUGUAUUUCAAUAAUAUCUGAACAUAAUACUAGUAGGGAACACAGUAAAAUUUAUCGUAAUAAUUAAACAAUGUAGAGAACUGUCCAAUUCCUGAUGUAACUUUUAUUUUAUUUAAUGUAAAAGCUGUUGGUGUACCUUUUAUACAUAAAUAAAUAAGUCAAACUACCUUUA